UGGUGGGAGGACUAUUCUUUACAGUAGAUCACGUGUCCCCUGGAACAAUGAAAGGUGGACAGAUCCUGUCGCUUGUGGUGCUGAUCUCUGCCCUGCUUGCUGUGACACACUCUCUUGAGCACCCAAGUCACGACUCAUGUAACACCACUGGGUGUAGACAUGGGAAUGGUCGUCUUAGAUGUCAGUCAUGUAACACCGGGUGUCACGGAUCAAAGUGCAGCUCUACAUGCCAAGGACGUUGUGACGGAGACGGAUGUGACAGGUCCACUGGAGAAUGUU